rnacentral:tRNA from 1 species
UGGGAUGUAGCUCAGUGGCAAAGCGCUUGCCUAGCAAGCGCAACGACCUGGGUUCGAUUCCCAGUACCAA